rnacentral:rRNA from 1 species
UCAGACACGUCAGAGUUUGAUCCUGGCUCAGGACGAACGCUGGCGGCGUGCUUAACACAUGCAAGUUGAACGGGGAAUUUUACUCGGUUUAAUCCUAGUAGCGAACGGGUGAGUAACACGUAUCCAACCUUCCGGUAACUCCGGUAUAGCCUUUCGAAAGAAAGAUUAAUCCCGGAUAGUAUGGUGAUUCCGCAUGGUUUCUCCAUUAAAGGAUUCCGGUUACCGAUGGGGAUGCGUUCCAUUAGGCAGUUGGCGGGGUAACGGCCCACCAAACCUACGAUGGAUAGGGGUUCUGAGAGGAAGGUCCCCCACAUUGGAACUGAGACACGGUCCAA